UCCUCUCUCUCUCUCUCUCUCUCUCUCUCUCUCUCUCUCUUUUCCCCAAAUCAGCUUCUUAAUUAAUAUUUGCAUUGUGGUUUCAUUUCAUAUUCAUUUUCCUCCUAAAUUUCUUCCUUUCACUUUUUUUUUUAAUGUCUAAAAGGUGGAAGACCUGAUUGCCAUCAGAGAAUUUAUUCAGUGAAAUACUUCAUUGAUCAAAGCUAUAGGCGGACCUGACUGGUUUCAUAUCAUUUUCAUUUGCCGAUUCAAUUAAGGAACCGAGGCAGAUAGAACCAGAUCAAUACAAGAGAGAGAGAGAGAGAGAGAGAGAGAGAGAGAGAGAGAGAGAGAGAGAGUAUAUUACCAAGAAAAAAUGGAUAUUAUCAAUAAGAGAGAUUACGUUUUCAAGAAAAAAGGGAGAGAGAAAAUUAUUUUAUUUUAUUUUUAUGAGAGAGAAAAUAAAAUUAAUGAUUGUUUAUUUAAAACAUUAAAACUAUUUGUCAUGUUAGAUUUAUUCUCAACCAUUAAAAGUAGAGUAAUCUAAUGGCCCAAAAAUUGUGUCAAAACUUUUGUCAAAAAUAUGGUGCCACGGAUCCACUAUAUAUAUAUAUAUAUAUCACAAAACAUCCUGAGGUUCACACACCUAUUACAAAUUAGGGCUAGACAAUUAAACCAUCAACUCAAAAAAUCGGCCGAACCAAACCGAUCAGAUUAGUUUGGUCUGAUUAUUUAUUUGUUAAUUAUUUAAUAUCGGGUUUUGGUUUACAAUUUGAGAUUUUAAAUGAACCGGACCUUCACUAUUGGCAAGCCAAAUAUUACAAAAAUAUAUAUAUAUAUUUUGCAACAAUGGGGUUCAAAAACCCCACACCUCCAGGUAAGAAUUAUUCUUGCUUUCCACUGGAGCAAUCAAGCUUCUUGUGUAAUCUUUCCAUAAAUAUGAUAUAUAAUUAGUUACUCCCAAUAAUAAAUAUUUUUAAAAAAAAAAAAGUGAGAGCAUGCAAGUAAACAUUAUGCAUGCACAUCUGCACUGAAACCAACGUUCUAAUUCUUUUUCUUCUCCUCAUAUCUCACCUCUCUCUACGCCCUCAUUUUUUAUUUUUUUUCCCCAUCUUCUUCUUCAUUCAGUCACUUUCCAUCUCUCCCUCUCUUUUUAUUUAUUUUUCCUUCUUCUCUUUCUCUCUCUUUCUUUUCUUCCUCCUCCUUCCCUCUUUUGCGUUGUCUCCCAUGUCUCUCUCGUUUUUCUAUUUUUUCCAUGCUCUCUCUUCUUUCUAGGGGUGGGCACUCAAACCGGCGAACCGGAAAUCCGAGCCGAACCGCACCGAACCAAACCGGAAAAAAACCGAGUUGACCAAAAAGUCAAAAACCGGUCAAAAACCGAACCGGACCGGUUUGGACCGGUUCCGGAUCCGGUUCCAUGUCUUCAAAAACCGAACCGGGCCGAACCGAACCGGUGAAACUAAAAAAAUAUAUAAUUUCAAUAUAUAUUUAUAUUUAAUGCUAUAUUUUUAAUUUCACUAAAAAAAACAUAAUAUUUAUCCAAGUUCAAUGUCAAAAUCUCUCUCUUUUCUCACUUUAAUAUUUAUUUUUUAUAUGAAAUUGAAUAAUUUGUUAAUUUUCAAGUAAAAAAAUAAUAUUUCAGUUGAGAAUUGUAUUAAAAAAUAAUUUAAAAAAAUAAUUUUUAUAAUCCGGUUCAAAACCGAACCGGAACCGAAACCGGACCGGAACCGGUUCAAACCGAACCGGACGGUUUUUGAAAUUUUUUUUAUUAAAACCGAACCGAACCAAACAGAAUGAAUAGUAUCGGAUCGGUUCUAAUUUGAGGCAAAAACCGGUCCAAACCGAACCGUGCCCACCCCUACUUCUUUCUAUUGUUUUCCAUCGCUCUCUCUUCUCUUCCUUCUUCUCCGUCUUCUUCCUGCGGUCUCUGUCUUCUUCUUUUUCUAUUUUUUCCCUUCUUCUUCUUCCUCUCUUCCCUAUCUCAAUCUCUCCUUAUGUCUAUUUUUUCCCAGCCUACUUUUUCUCUCUUCGGCCUAAACCCGAAACCGAACCAAACCAAAUCACAAACUUCGGUUAACUAGAAUGGUCGGUUUCACAAGUUAUGGUUCGGUGCACGAUUUUCAAAAUAGCUAACCCGAAGCCUUCUGUUCGGUGUUCAGGUUGAGCCUAAAACCGAACCAAUCCAGACCGAGCCCACACCUAGCACAAAUGGUCCUUGCGAACUUUUUUUAUUUUUUCAUUUAAAAUUCAUAAAAUUUUGGUUUUCUUUUUAAAAUUAUUUUAAAACAUAUAUUGUAUUUUAAAUACACAUGACACUAUAUUAUCAUAGAUGUAGGCUCCAUAUAUAUGCCACAUCAACAAACUAAUGAAAUUUUUAAAUGAUCCUCAAGGUUAAAAUCCUUCUAUAAAUAAGUUUUUUUAUAUUCCAUCUCCAUUGUAAAACUCUGUUAUCUAUCUCUCAUUUCAGGAUUUGAAAUAAGAAUCUCCAUAAUAUUAGUUCCAUUAAAAUCUCGGUAAAAUGAAAUUGCCAAGCCAAGAUGAGCCCAUUAGAUGAUUCUGACCCAUACAGAACAUCUGAACUAAAAAGAUUGGAUAAAAUACAGCCACAUUUCAUAUGCAUGCCACCUCUGGUAUUUGGAAAAGUUUGUCUCCCUGAUUUGUGGUCUUGGUGAAGCUCUCACAUUUAUCUAAAAUGCCGGGAGUGUAAAUUCUCUCUCCUCCAAAAAAAAAAACAUAAGAUUUUGCUGUGGCCACUAAAUAAUAUGAAAACUUCUUUACAUUUGAUUAUAGUUGAAUAUGAUGAAUAGGGUAUACUUAUUAAAAUAUAUUUAUUUUACAAUUCAAUAUAUCUUAUUUGUUCAUUUUAUAUUAGGAUAAAUUAGUAAUUCAAUAAAUACUUUAGUAGUAGGGUGUACUCAAUUAAUUUUAGGGUUUGUUCAGUAGCACUCUUCAGUUAAUCAUAUUCUAUCUGCUAUCAAACCACUGUUGUUGAGAACUUCUAGUAGUUGUAUUUUCUGGUUAUCAAAUUCUAGUAGUUAUUCAUUACUCCCAUUUAGCAAAUGUUAGUUGCAAUCAAUUUCAAGUUGCAACGACCUCUACUCUCUAGUAGUUAUUUAGUUUUACCCCUCUCGUUUAUAUUAAUUAUCUUUCAUCCAUUCUUCAUUCCCAUCUCUCUCUCUCUCUCUCUCUCUCUCUCUCUCUCUCACAUAAUCACCCUGGCAACUUUCUAUACCACAUUACAAGCUUUGAUUAAUUCCUCUUAAUUAACCAUGGAAAUUAAUGCAAAAGCUCAACACCGCUCAACCACAGAGCCAUUGCUCCCAAUUUCACGCAACCCUUCAAACCCAUCGUGUCCAGUCAAUCGCAUCCCAAUCCAUUGCAAGAUUAGUACACGUCCACCGCAUUCUAUUACUUGCAUUAGGGACAUUCACAUUGUUAUGCGUCUUCAUGCUCCCGCCCACACAGACCCCAAAAAUCCAACUCGACUCACUCUUCAUGUCCAAGCUUAACGUUUCAAACACGUCACUAGAGGCCAAUUGGGACAUGGCCUUCACCGUAGAAAACCCCAAUAUGGUCUCUUGGGUUUAAUUCAACCGCAUAGAGGGUUCAAUUCUGUACAAGGGCAACCCUCUCGCGACAUACUCUGUUGAGCCAUUUGACUUGGGAUUGAAGGAACAAAGAUUGAUGCGUGUGAAGAUAUCAAGGACCGGAUUACAGGAUGAGCCGGAGAUGAAGGUGUCGGAUUUGGAAGAAAUGAAUAAGCAACGUGAAGAUGGUGCUGUGAGUUUGAAGAUGGAAAUGUUUGCAUGGGCUACGUAUAAGAAGGGUUGGUGGGGAACAGAAGAUGUCAUGAUGGAGGCUCACUGUUUGGAUUUGAGGGUUGGUUUCUUGCCUAAAUUUGGGUUCGGUUGCUGUAUCAGCCUAAGGCCGAUGACUUGCUCUACUGGUUCGUAUGCUAGUUGGUUAAAUCGGAAAGUUGUUGAUUUUUUCUUUAGGCAGGACUAGGGUUUUUAGUCUGAGAUUGUAAUUUGAUGGAUGUAGAUGAAGCCUGUAAAUUAUGAACAAGGAAGAACUUGUCUUUUCUUCUCAAGGGAAUGCAUGCAUCAAAAUUGGAGACAAUGUCAACAUUCUUUUUUAUCUUUAUCCAUGUGUAAAUUGAAAAAGGAUAUCACAAUUACAAAACCUUCCACUAAACGUUUGUGGCUAUAUUUUUAAUCAAAUCAUAAGAAAAAAAAAAUUCACCACACACAAAGAAAUUGAACAUAUAUAAGAUCUCUAGAAUGGUGUAUACUUCCGUGUGUUUCGAGAAUAUAUUAUAUAUGAAACUCUUUUUCAUUAUAAAAUUUAACAAAAAGACGUAAAUUAUAAAAAAUUAAAAAUGCACGAACCAAAAAACUUAAGUGGUACCUAGUCAAACCUCGUCCAAUCAAACUCACCAUCAACUAUUAUAAACUUAGGUUGGGUAAUUUUUCAAUGUGAGACAAACUCUCAACAAACCCAGCCAAUCAAUCUGAGUGAGAUCGACUAACCGAGAGAGAGAGAUGUUGAGAAAUGUUUUGGCGGAACAGAUUCUCCAAUUUUGGAAACACAAUUUCAUUCUUUUGUUUUCACUUUCGAAAAUAAUUUGUGAAAACAUUUCCAAAAAAUGGUGCCGAACUUUUCUACAUUGAUAGGGAAAACAACCUUAAUGAUAGUGUUUGGUCUACUUUUUACUCAGAUUAUAGGUAAAGACUCUCGCUCCUAAUUAUAUGUGUUUGACUUGGUUUAGAUCUUCCAUGCACUGUUUUGUCUAAUAAAUUGAAGUGCUAAAAAGAGCAUUUUAAUUUUUUAAUUUUUUAAUUUUUAUUUUUUUUUGAGGCGGCUUAUAAAUGUCAGAGAUGGCCCCCUUGAUACUUCAACAAACCUUGCAACUCAGGUAAAUCAUGUACGAAUAUAUUCGUUAAUUUUUUUCUCUCACGUAUGAUUAAGUAUGUAGGUUGACACUUGAACAACCUUCUAUUUCUAGAGUUUUCGCUCAGCUAACCAUUUUAUUUGUUAUCAAAUGACUGACAUUUAGAAAAUCCAGUAGUUAUUCGUUAGUCCCUUUUAGCAAAUGUUAGUUGGACUCAGUUUCUGUUUAUAACCUUCUAUUCUCUAGUAGUUAAUUAGCUUUACCCUUCUCCUUUAUAUCAACUUUCCUUCCCCCAUUUCUUCAUACCCAUCUCUCUUUCUCCCCGAAACCCUAGUAAGCUGGAUUAUUGCAUCACAAGCAUAAGUUUCUAUUAACCAUGGAUUCUAAUAGAACAGCACAGCGCUCAGCCACAAUGCCACUACUCCCAGUUUCAUACAACCCUUCAAUUUCAAACCCCAACAUAUCUCUGUCUAUCACAUCUCGAUUCACUGCGAAACUAGUACUUCUCCACCGGAUUUUGUUGUUCGUGUUAGGGAUCGUCACGUUGCUAUGCGUAGCCAUGGCCACAUCCUUAGUUCCACAGCCCCCGAAAAUCAAACUCAACUCUCUCUUGGUGUCGAAAAUUAACGUCUCAAACACAAAGCUAGGGGCCAACUUUGACGUGGCCUUCACAAUAGAGAACCCUAAUCUAGUCUCGUGGAUUUACUUUGACCACAUCGAUGGUUCGAUUUCUUACAAAGAUAACGCUCUCAUAACAUACUCGUUGGACCCUUUUGUACUGGGAUUGAAGGAACAUAGAAUGAUGCGUGUGAAGAUAUCCGUGAAUGGAUUACAGGAAGAUCAGCCGGUUGUGAAGGAGAGGGUUUUGGAAGAAAUCCAUAGGCAACGUGAAGAUGGUGCUGUGAAUUUCAGCCUGGAAAUGUUUGCACGGGCUACGUAUAGGACCGGUUGGUGGGGGACAAAGUCUGUUUUAAUGAACCCUCAAUGUUUGGAUUUGAGGGUUGGCUUCUUGCCUAAAGUUGGUUUCGGAAGCUGGAUUAGUGGAGGGCCUAUGACUUGCGCAGUUCCAAUGCUAAUUGAUGACUAAAUUUGAAUUUCUUUUCCCUUUUUCAAGUUACCUAGCUAGGCUUUUUGGUUUUAGUUACAAGGGAGCCUAAAUUAAGCCUUUUAAUUGGAGGUUGUAAUGUAAUGUUACUAUCUAGUAGGAUCUUGCAAAUUAAAAGUAGAGUUGAGCUUUGUUUCCAACGGGCACUAAAAAAAAAUCAGCAAUAGUCACCUUUUUUUUCCGUGACUUUUGAAAGCAUUGGUCACCUUUAUUGGUAACUAAAAGCUUUAGUAACGAUGCAGCUACAAAUUUUGAGUUGGUGAGAUUUGUGACCAUUACUAUUGGCCUUUAUCACCAUUAAUAAAGAAAGUGACAAACAAAAUGUUGACUUUUCAGUUACCUUUACACUUAUAUUUUUUUAUUUUUUUUAUCUUUAAUUAGUUUAAUAAUUUUCUGAAUUAUAUAUGUUUUAAAUAAUUACAAUUUCCUUUUGAUAUACUUUAAUGGCAUAAUAACAAUAAUUCCUUUUUUUUCUUUUUUUUCUGAUAAGAUAAUAAUAAUAAUUCCUUGAUAAUGCACUUCAUGUGUAAAAGAGGCCUCUAAUAUUAUUAUUUAAUUAAAUAUAAAUACUCAAUUGAUACAUAAUGGUAAUUAAGUAGUACAAUAUUUUCCUAAUGAAUACAAAAUUUGUACAAUCCUAUGCAAACAAUAAUACAUACACGCCUAAGAAGACCUGUAGCUAGUACUUUCUAAUCCAAGCACUCCUCCGAUCCUACCAUACAAACGAAUGAAGCAACUGAAGUGUCCUCCAUUCCUGCAAUUGAAGUGUCCACCAUUCCUGUAAGUAAAUCCAAAUGACAAAGAAUGAAAUUAAAGAGUCCCAAGUACUAGAAGUUAGUAGAUAUUCAAGCUUAAGGAAUUACAACCUCACCCUCUUCUUUUGUAGUUGGUAGCAUUAAACGUUCAUUUGUCUAUGGUGAAGGGAUCUGAUCAUUGUUUGUAGUGAACUAAUAGUAGUUCACAUAUCAUAGUUCAAGAAGAAGUUAGAGGUAGAGCAAGGGCAUAGUUCAAAUAGGGAAAGAAAGAGAAAAGGGAAGAUCAAAAUAAAAUAAAAUCUAAGAAAAUAAAAAUCUUGUAGUAAUCUAAAUGAAUAACCCCAACCCACCAAUGUUCAAGGGAAGAGAAACUCAGAUAAAAUAACAUCUUUACAACUCAGAAAUAGAAAAGGUGAAUUACAAAGAGUAUAUUAAUAAAAUAGAAUAAAUUUAAACGGACCUGGGAAUAGAGGUGCCUCUAGCAAUUCCACUGCCCCUGCAGAACUUGAUCUUCCUACAUCAUAGAAUAUCAAAGAAUAUAUUAAUAUAUAAAAAAGUAGAAAGAAAAAAACUUAUACAUAAAACAAAAUACAAGGAAAGUCAUGACUGAAGCAAGCCCUACUCUAGCUCUCAGAUCUGAGAUAUAACAUCUCAUAUUUGAGAUUUAAUCUAAAAGGACCUCCCAGAGCCAAAGAAACUCGCUAGAAAAACUAGGGAGAAAUAACAAACUCUGUCAAAAGCAAGGAGAUAACCAAAAAAAAUGGAGGGAUCGGGGUGAAAACCACCGGAUCUAAAAAGAAAAAAGGGGUUGCUGGGUUGUUUUGAGAGAGAAGAGCUUAUAAAAGAAAAGGGGUUGCUGGGUUGUUUUGGGUUGUCAAAAGCAAGCCCUUUAGAAAUUCAACUAGAUCAAGUAAUCUCACACUUUAAAGAAAAUGGGUUACUUUAAUGGUUAACCAAUGUAAUAUUUAAUUCUUUUUUUAUACGUAUUUCCAUUUUUAAUGUGUUCUAUACAUAUUUAAUUGGAUUACUAUUCUCAAGGAAGAUUAUCCUCAAAUAUUAUAUUUAACAAAUUACUGCUAUGUGUCAGUUGGUUUACAUUUAUUAUAUUUAAAUCAAUAGUCACCAAUUCUUUAAAGUGUGAGAUAAUUAGUCACAAAUAAUGGUGACUAGUAACCAAAGUCAUUAAUCACCCAUUCAAAUGUCACCAAAACUAUUUUGUUGCUAUAAAAAUGUGACUAAUGCUUUCUUUUUUUGUAGUGGGGAAUCUAUCAAAAUAGAAGUAAAGUUAUAUACGUACAAAUAUUUUGGUGAUAUUGUCUCAUGGAAGACGCAUAAAACCAUGUCUCUGUGAAAUUUUUAGAUGCUUGUAAAAAGCCUCUUCUACGUGGAUGUAUUACCUAAACUUGAUCGAGGACACUUUUUAUUCACAUACUAAGAAAUAUUUUAACUAGAUGCCUUCAAAAUAUAGUUAACUAAAUAGAGGCCUUCACUACACAUGCCAAAAUUUAAAAAGGAACAGAUGGAUUUGUGGAAUUUGGACAUCUAAUUCUAUUAUAUUUGUUUCUGUAUAAGCACUACAAGUUUGAAAUUGGCACAAUAAACUUUAGAUGAACUCUCAAAAUGAAACCGUUUUUGGGGUGUUUUGUUGUGCACUCUAGCGAUGUGGAAAUACUCGCUUGACCUAGUUUGAUGUCGAAUUACUUGGAAGUAAAUAGCUUUGAAGAAAGUUGAGGUUGAAACUUAAGUUUGGAUACUUCAUAAAGAAAUUUGGCUUUAAAAUGACUAUGGGUGCUUAAAAUCCAAUCAAAAUGGCCUAAACUGACUAAUCCAGUCCAAUCAAAUGCACUUUUGAUCAUUUUGAAGGCCUUAGGCAGGUUGAAUAUAGAUAGUUGUGUUCAUACUUUUUUGCUCUCAUACACGUGCGAUUGAAUAAAUUUUGAUUAAUUUUAAGUCAAUCAAAGUUAUGUUUAGUCCAUUUGAGAUCCUGUAGGGGCUUUUUCUUUUCGGCAGCUACUGUGGGCCUAGGCUGCUGUAAAGAGCUAAAUGUGUAAAAAUUGUCUCUGGGUCUGAGUUCAAGAAUUAGGCCCCGAGAAUGCUUCGAAAGGGUAGCUAAGCCUUAGGAAGCACCUUGGUUACCUUCACUAACAAAACUAACAGUUACUUACAGAUAAAUUCUUAGCUUUGACAUGAUAGACUUGUGGUAUGGAAGCAAAGCAAUCAUGAGUUUAGCAUUGAAGAGAGAGAGAGUUGUGAGUUCAUAUGAGAAACAUGGGUUCUAAGGAGAAGGGGAAGGGAUUCUAAGUGGGUUUUUUGAAGAGAGAGAGGGAUGAGGGUAUAUUAGGUGUGUUGAGUAGUUUCCGGCAGCUCGAUGAAAACUCUGUCAAACUUUGGAACAGUUUACCAAAAGGAAAAAUGGGGAGAGAUGGAAGGAGAUGAGGCUCGAAAUUGCAGAGGUUUCAGAGGUGAGAGAUAAAACUUGCUUUCCAGAUAUGUGUUGUUUGGGAUAAAGAAGAAGGAGAUAGAAGGUGAGGCACUUGGGCUUGAUGUUUCCAGCAGUUGGAGAAUAAGCUUGCUCAACUGCUCUGGUUGAGUUUAAUGAGUAGGAGGUACCUUCUUUUAUAGCCGCUAGAAGCUCCUCCUUCUCAAGAAACCCUAAUGGGUUCUCUCCAAUUUUGCCAAGUCUCCCCUUUCACCCCUUUCAUUUCUCUUCUCUCCCUUCGAUCCAUCCCAUUUUGUGAAAUUCUCUUCUGCCCAAUACUUUAUCAGAUUUUUGGGAAUUCAGAAGUUUUCCCGCAGCCAUUCCAGUGGUGAUUUCUUAUUUUUGGCUAUCAUCUCUCAUCCUUUCCUCCCUUAUUUCAUGGCAAGAUCUGGUAAAGGAAGGAGAUAGGUAAAUUUGGCUAGUCUGAAGGCUGCCUUUUCUCUUGCGCGCACCAAUAUCCUCUGGUUUUUUGAGCGAUCUGCCUUAAGGUUUGUUUUGCCCACUUGCUAGAGCCUCCCAGCAGUUCACAUACAUGGGCAACUUUGGCUUUUGUCUUGGCUUUUGUCUCCAGCUAAGUGAUGGAGAUUGCAGAUAUUUUGCUUGGUUGCUUGGGCCUUCCUAAGGUGAUGGGUUAACCCAUUAAGGGAAUGGGCUAAUUUCCUAAAGUGAUAGGCUAUUUUAUUGAGAUGAUGGGCUAAUUUUUCCUAAAAUAUUGGGCUAUUUCUCUCCUUUAUUCUUACCCACAUAUUUGAGCUCAAGAAAUGGGCUUGAGUUUUAGGGCUCUCAAGCAACCCAAAACUUCCAUUUCUCGGCUCAUCAAUAAGCCUCAUGAAAGCUCAUUACCAUCCAUACCACAACCCACUCAGCAAGCCCCGAGCAUUUUUCAUGGCUUGGGCCCACUUAAACUUGUAGCGUGGCUAGGUAAAUAAUAAUGAUUUUUCGCUUGGCAUUGCAUAUCGUUUGGCAUGCUUGAAUUUUGUCGCUUUGAAGAGGGAUAUGAAGCUUGACAGGAUAAUUAGCUUGGGGUCGUAAAGCCAGUGCUUAUUUCAACUCUUAGCAUGACAGAUUACAUAUUUAUUUGGCAUGGCACGUGGAUCAUGACUCGUGCAAGCGUGAAUGACAAACCUUCGCGUGCUCCAAAUCAGGUCUUUUUUUUAAUAAAGCAUUGCUUUGGGUCGGAAAUUUAUUUGGGUCAACCCUGAAUUUUUUGGGCCUCAACAGAUCCAAAACACUCUUACUUACAAUUUAAUUUUUACUUCACAUUCAUUUAUAUAUAUGUAAUUUGAUUAGAUAAUAUAUUGAAUGCUACGUCACCAAUUAAUUUAUCAAUAUUCACUCGUCACAUCAUAUUUAUUUUUAACAUCCUCAACUUUCUAAUUUAGUAUUUGUGGUAAUUCAAGAGCCACCGCAACAAUUUCGUCCCAGCAUCACGCUGCUGCCACCACCUGCCACUCCCCAACGGUUAACCAAACAAUGUAUAAGUUCAGGUUAUGAACCGUUGCGAAAUCACCGUGAAUUAACUUCAUUUGCUUUAACUAAUGAUGUUUAAUGGAUAUCACUAUUCAAGCAAACUAACAGUUUUAUCGGUUAUCAAAUUAAUGAAGUUUAGAAAUCUUCUUUCGCAUGUUUGUUAGAAUCUAGUUAUUCAGGUUUUUAACCGUUUUUGGUAGUUAUUUAGUUUUUUUUUAACAAUCUCUAGUGGUUUACAGUUUCCAUGGCCUUCUACUUUAUAUCCCAACUCUCUCACACAUUUCCACAAACCCAUCUCUCUUUCUCUCUCAAUUUCCUAUCAUCAGCCGUGGAAAUUAAUGCAAAAGCUGAUCAGCACUCAGCUACCAUGCCCCUACUCCCAGUUUCAUAUAGCCCGUCAAACGACAACGUUUCGCAGUCUGUUAAAUCAAGACGCAUUUCCAAAUUAUCCGUCUUCCAACCCAUUAUUCUAUUAUCACCUACAUUAUUAAUAUUUGGGACCUUGGCAUUGCUGUGCAUUUUCAUGUCCUUAUUGUCCCAAGUUCAUCCACAAGCCCCAAAUGUCCAACUAAACUCGCUCUUCAUGUCCAAAUUUAACAUCUCCAACACAACAUUGGGGGCUAAUUGGGACAUGACCCUUACAAUAGACAACCCCAACCUGCUCACAUGGGUUCGUUUCAACCACAUCAAGGGUUCAAUGUCGUACAAAGAUAACAUCCUCGCGAUAAGCUCCAUCGAGCCAUUCAUGUUGGGAUUGAAGGAACGAAGAACGGUGAGGGUGAAGAUAUCGACGAUGGGGUUGGGGGAAGAGGAUCGUGAUCAUCAGCUGGUGGUGAAGAAGAGGGUUUUGGAUGAGAUGAUGAGCAAGAGACGUGAGGAUGGAGCUGUGCAUUUUAGCAUGCAAAUGUUUGUUUGGGCCACGUAUAGGACUGGUUUGUGGGGGACACAACAAGAUGUUGUGAUGAGCCCUCAGUGUUUGGAUUUGAAGGUUGGGUUCUCGCGUGGAAUUGGGUUCGGGAGUGGGAUUAGUGGAGGGCCUAUGAUGUGUUCUGUUCCUAUAUUAAUUAAUUGACCAAAUUAGACUUUUUCUUUCUUUUUUCAUGUAGAGGUUUUUAGUUUUAGAUUGUUAAUUUGAUCGAUGUAGGAGAAUCAAAAUCGAACCUGUAAAUUAAGAACAAAGAAAUGAAUUGUUUUACGCAUCAAAAUUGAAGGUGAAUAUGAACGUGAUGUUAUGAAAUUCUUUGAUGAUCUUUGUCUGGACUUGGAUAAAUAAAAAAGUGUAUACUAGUGAUUUAUCUUAUGAAUUUGUACUUAACUUUUGAUUUGCCCUAUCUUUUUUUUUAAAGAAAAUUAAGGAUAUAAACUUUUUUUUUCCGUCAAUUUCUCCCUUACCGUCUAAAUCCACAACAUUUCAUCUAAUUUGUCGUUAAAUAUGAGGGCAAAUUGGUCAUGUUGUACUUCUAAAAUAAAAUAAUUUGAACUUUGAAAUAAUAAUAAAUAAUGAUAGGAAAAAAAAAGGUUUUUUUUUUUUUUUUUUUUUUAAGAGUAGAGAAAAUGUCAUCCUCAGACUUCCUAUUAGCCUCUGAAUUUCUGCUUACCAACUCCACUUCCUAUAAGCUUCAUACCAACCCCUUUCUUCCCCAAAAUUGAACACAUCCCAUACAACAACACCAAAACCUCCACCAUAUAUUUGAACAAAAUCCCCCAUAUGUACUUAUUUGAACACACACAAAAAACCCAGAUCCAUUUGAUCAAAAAUCGCACAAGGGGCAGAGGGGUUGUGGUGAGGUGGGUGAUUUUGUGGUGUCAGGGAUGGACCUGGGGUUUGGGGGAAGAGAGAGAGAGUGUGUGAUGGUUGUGGGGUGGUGGCUGUGGGAGGGUGAGUUGUUGAGAGAGAGAUGGAGAUUGCGAUGGAUAAAGGGGUGGUCGUGGGUUUAAGGGUGUGUUGUGAAAAGGAAGGCAGCGACGGUGGGAAGGGGGGAUGGGUUGCGAAUUAGUCUUGGGGUGAGUUGCAGGUGGGAAAUGGGUAGUCAGGUUGGGGAAGAAAAAGAGAGAAGGGAGGGGGGUUCUGUGGGUAGGAUAGGUUUUUGUUUUGUUCCUUUUUUUUAUAAUUUUUUCUAAAAAUAUAAAUUUUAUUUUAAUAAUUUAACUGAAAAUUGGAUGCAAUGUUGAUGAUUUAGACGGUAGGGAGAAAAUUGGAGAAAAAAAAAUUUUAUAUUUUUAAUUUUCUAAAAAAAAAAUGAUAGGGGGUCAAUUGAAACCAAGGUAUAAGUCAAGGGACAAAUCACUAGUAUACCAUAAAUAUUUCACUACAUAAAUGAAAUAAACAGAAGAUUUCUAGAAUUUACACGUGCUCUUACAGAAAUUUCAUUAAGUAUUUGGUGUGCAAAUGAAUUUUUAUUAAUUUACUAGAGUCACCCUGAAAAUAAAAUAAUUAUCAGAAUAUAACUCAAAUUUAAAUCUCCUUUUUUUCUAUUAAAAACAACUAAUCCUCCUCGUAAAAAUAUUUACUCUCCUCAUUGUUUUUCGGUUGGAUCCUCCACUUACAUUAUAAUUGUAAUUUAUGCUAAUAGGGUCUAGUUCAGUUAAAAAAUACUUUGAUUUGCAAACUAUUGGUCUCAAGUUUGAAUCAUAUAGCACCGUGAUAGGUCUAUAUGAGAAACCCCACUCUCUAUAGUUUGGACAAAAAUUAUUGAUAUUUGAUCUAUCCUUUCAGAUGUACUUGACUCUUUCCAAACUAUUUGCACUUGUGAAAGGACACGAACUGCAAACAUCACUUCGUUUUACCAAAGCCAAAAAACGUCUUCAACCACCACGCGUAUAUAUCCUUCAAAACAAAUAAAAUAAUUGCCCUGCAAACGCAACUUGAUUUUAACCGCUGCCAUCUUCCCUCAUUUGUUCCUCUCUUCUCCCUCAUCAUCUCCACCUUUCUCCCAUCCAUUAUAAAUCCUUAAAUUCAGUAACUUAUAAUUAGUACUGGGAAUUUUGCUUCACAUAUUGGAUUGAUUCAAGACCAAGGAAACUUAGCAUCACAAGGUACGGCUUUCUUUCUCUAUCUUUAAAUUGUUAUAAACUUCGUCUGGGUAAAAUUAAGUUGUCAAAAUCAGUAAUUUGGUGAACGGUUAUAAAAUCCAAGUCUUGCAAAUUGUCUCUUUGAUUUGUCCUCUUGAAGCUUCUUAUUUGAUUAAUUAUACCAAGUGAGUAAUCUAUUUGGAGAGUGUCUUACAAGUAUGUUUGUAGCAACAAAUACCCUGCAAUACUGCAUUUAAGAACAAACUACCUACUGCCAACGGGGUCUAGCCUAGUGGUAAAGGGCCUUGACUUGCAGAUCAGAGGUUUCAGGUUCAAAUCUCACGGCAUCAUAGUAGUGUGUGUGUGAGAAAUCCCCCACCCCUGUAGUUUAGACCAUCACUUGUACUAAAAAAAAAAAAAAACUAUUGAACAAACUACCUACUACAUUUUAUUUCUAAUUUCUUGUUAGACUUUUUAUAGCUUUGGCCGAUCACUCUUUUUUUUUUCUUUUUUUUUUGGUUGUGAAAUUAGUAAAAUAGUAUUUUUAAAUUGAGGAAUUAACAAUUUUAAUUCGGUCUAUAGAUUAUAUUAAAAAAAAUGAUGUUCUAACAUGUUAUAUAUUGCUAGACUACGAACCACGAGUAUUCUCUUUCACUGAAUAAUCGGUGAAAAUUUCCCUAACAUAUCCAUCUUGAACUUUGUAUUCUCUCUUUCAGGAAGAGUUAUGCAUGGCUUCUUUGUGGUGCAAAAAGUCUCCAGAUUGCAGUAAAAUUCGUGGAUACAUCCUGCUUUUUGUUAUAGUGGUGAGUCUAGCAACAGUCAUCGGAUUUUCUCUCUGGUUCUUAGGCAACUAUGUGGAUUCAAAGUCCGGCCCAGGAACAGACCCCCUUGUGCUUCGUUUGGAUGCAUUUUCUCUAUCGAAUUUCGAGGUUUCGAAUUCAUCAUUCUCAGCUGAAUGGGAGGCCAAGUUGACAUUUGGGAACCAAAACGGUGGCCUAACUGUUACCCUCAACCCCUUUGAGAGUUAUGUGUUCUAUAAAGAACGUGAGGCUCUAUCAUGUGCUUCUGUGGAUGCAAUGUUGCAUGUUCCUCCAAGGAAACAGAAAACUCUGCAGAUCAAAUUUGAUCCGACAAGUUGCGGAGGAGAACAGCCGUAUGUGGAGGAUCGAGUGAUGAAGGAGUUGAGUGAAGAUCGAAAGAGUGGUCACCUUAGCUUUAGUUUGAAAAUGCGCAUAGAUGCUUCUUAUAGUAUGAGGGAGCUUUUGGGAAUGGGAACCCAAGUGACUUUAAAUCCUAACUGUUCAGGGUUGAAGGUUCAGUUUGAGGGUGCAAAAGGGGAGGGAAAGAUAAAUGGGGGCCGCAAGUGCACCAUUCCAUUACCUAAAUGAUCAUGCAAUUCUUACCGUAGGUAAGGGCCGGCUCUGAAAUUUUAAGGGAUUAUAGCAGGCGAAGAUAAGCUCAUGAAAUAGGAUUAAUGUAAAUUUCGUAUAGAUAAGUUGUUUAUUUCAAAAAAAUUGAGUCCUUUUUACUUGGGCCAGAGCACUUGAAAAAAGUAGGCAAAGCCCAACUUGUGAGAAAUUCUUGUGAUUUAAAAGUAGCAGGUUUUGCUAUAUAAGGAAUUAUUAACUCAACAAGUAACGGAUGUCACGUAAAAGGAAAUCAAAUCAAUGUGAUUUAAUUUUCUGGUUUUCUUCUCAUUUUAAAUUUUAAGCACCCUUGCAUUAAAUCAUUGAGUUUAUGCCAAAGGAUGCCAAUUAGCAUUAACACUGAGCUUAUCCAUUUUUGACCUCCAUGAAUUAAUGACAUAAAUUUUUUGAACCAAAAUGUGCACUGAUUCUCUGAAUUUGACUGCCAUUUCAAUAUUAGUUUUUCCCAAUACUCUCCCAUUCACACCUUAACUCAUUGCAGAAAAACAAAAAUGGGCCCUUUGUGGUCUCGUCGCCACAAGGCACUGGCGGAAGAAAUGUCCUUGAAAUUGGCUGCUGCUACAAUCCUCAUCACAUUACUUGCAUUUGUCACCACCGUAUGCUUGUCGUUGAACGGCGGCGUUCGAACAUAUCCCAUUGCCAUUGCUCAGCACUCUUUCUCUGUCUCAAACACAACGAAACUCGUCUCUGAACUGCAGAGCGCUGUUUGGGAUGCAGAGUUGAAGUUCAGCCAGAACAGUGAUCUGCAAGUUCACAUCAAACACUUUCAGGGCUUCGUGUACUACCCGAAAUUCGAACCGCUGUGGUGUGCCUCACUGAAGCCAGUGGACGUUGAGUUCAGGAGCCCAAAUGGGCUGCACAUAAGAUUUGAUAUGAGAGAGUGUGGGGAGGAAGGGCUCGGGGUUUCGACAGAGGAAGCUCUGAAGGAGGUUCGUUUGGAAAUGAAAAUGGACCUGGUUGUGCCUUACCAGUUUGGAAAGACCAGAAUUUGGGCCUGGCUUUGGGGAUUGAGUGUUGAAGAAUCUUGUUCUGAGUUGAGAGUUGAAUUUGUGUCUUCGGUUGGAGAGGGGAAACUGAUUGGUGAGGGAGGAUGGUGCUUUGUUCCAUUGCCUGAGUAAUUUUGAGUUAUGAUCAACUCAUGCCAAUCUAAAUAAUCUUUGUUUUUGCUUCCCCUUUUAUUUAAUUUUGUUUUGUUUCUCCUCUAAAUUAUUACCUCACAGAAUUAGGCAUCAAGCAGACAGACACAAAGAAGAGAGUUUGAGUCUCCACUCUCCUCUCUUUUUUUUUUAAUACGCAGAAAAGAAAAAUAUGAAACUGACAGGAUCACCCUCCAUUCAUACUGAAGGAGACGAGGUUACGUGACUUUGCAGUUUUCAUAGUGAAGUUUGAAAAGGGUCAAAUAAUGCCAAGAUUUUGUCACUUUCUUCGUUUCAAUGUUAAAUGUCCUCGAUUAUCACAAUCAUGAUUCAUCACGCCUCGUUUACUUCUUUAGCUUUUAUUUCCAUGUUCGAUUAAUUUCUUAAUCCCUUCAUUUUCUCCCUUGAUUGUUUCCUUUAAAUAUUCUAGUUUACCAUUUUUAGUAUAAUUCUCUUGUAUUUUUAGUUUUCCGUGUUGGAUUAAUUUCUUGUAUAAAUACUGAAUUCUGCUCCCAGUAGCGCUAUGGGCACCAACUUUUUUUAUCAAUUUUUUGAUACCAACUUAUGUAGCAACUGACAUGGCAAUUCAAGUCAUUUGCCACCUCAUCUAUUUUAUUUGAAUAAUUUAAAUUAAUGCACAUAAUCUAUUUUAAAUUAAUUUAUUUAACUUUUAUAUAUUUAUCUCUUCUCAAGUCAUCUCCAUCAUCCAUUCCCAGCCAACAGCUCCUCCAUCGUAGCACCGCCACGAUCAUGAUGAUAGCAAAUUGAUGGUUACGUUUAUAGAUGAUAAGAUGAUGCUCAUCUCUGAUUUUGGGUUUUGGACAUUUAUGGUUCCUGGAUUUGGUUGAGAGUAUGGCGAGGAAGAAGAAUCAAAGGAGAGUAAAGGCAUGAGCAUAUAUAUAUAUAUAUAUAUAUAUAUAUAUAUAUAUAGUUCUGAUCUUUUGGACCACAGGAGUCCAAGAAAUUUGUGGUCACUCACCGUUGGAUGUAAAUUCAACGGUUCACUCACUCUUGCACUCAUUUUAAAAAACUUUUUUCAACCAUUGGAUUAAUAUCCAACGGUAGAUAACCACAAUCUCUUAGACUCCUGUGGUCCAAGAAAUCAUCGGGACUAUAUAUAUAUAUAUAUAUAUAUAUAUGAAUAGAGUUGGUGAAUCAUAGGAUCUUAUAUGCAGUCUCACACCGAUCACAUCCCAUAUAUUUGGUUUUUCUUUGGAUGAUAAUCACUGGUUUUCUUUGAACUUGGCUGGAAAACUAUUAUUGCUUUGUUGAUUAUUAAUAUUAUUGUAAAUUCUACAAAACAACUAAUUACGUUGAUACUAUGAUUGGUAUGAAAACAUUGAGGAUUUAACAAAUCAGUUAAGAGAGGUGUGAUGAGAGCUCUUCAAUGGAAGGAAUGAUUAUUGAGUUUCUAGGGCUUUUUUGGGGUUGGGGAAGGGUUCACCGUUGAACCAAAACUUAUGGGUAUUUUUCUUUCUUUUUAUUUUGUUGGACAAUUUCUCUUUCUUUUCUUUUUUUUCUUUUUUCUUUGUUCAGGAACAAAAUGUGUAAUUAAAAAAAAUGACAUGGCAAAUGACAAGGAUUGCAAUCUCAUGUACUACAUCUAUUGGAGAAAUUAUAGAAUGCUAUUGUAUUACCAUGUCAGCUAAUUAUACUUCCAUUCAAAAUAUGUCAUACGUCAUUUUAAAAAAAGUAUAAUUUUUUGUUUUACAGCUGGACUUUUGCCCUCUAGAAUAAUAUUUGAAAAAACAAAAAAACCAAAGACGCCGGAAACCAACUCCCACGACAACUCAAAUCUUCCUACCUUGCACUACCAACCACCCAACCCAAUCGCCCAAGGGUUUUGAUUGGCCACCUGGUUAAUCUAAAACAAGAACCACAUAAAGAAAUAACUGGAAAUAACAAUAACUGAUUAUUCCCUUUGUGGUUUCUGUACAAAUGAUUAUCAACAAACCAAAAAAAUAAAAUAACCAGCACACUAUAGAAACCUGUCGAGUCCCUAAACGAGCUUCAUAAUCCAUGGACUAUUGGGUUGGUGGAAGAAGUGCGAGGAUGGGGAUUGGGUUGUGGUGGGAGGUGGUUUCGAGUGGCUUCUUUGGGUUUUUCCUUUUCUAAAUUUUUUUAAUAAAAAAGUCUUAUUCUACAGUUAAAAGAAAGUAUUAAAUUCAGCUGUAAAAAAAAUUAUAAUUUUUUAAAAAAACAUGAUAUAUAGCAUAUUUUGAAUGAAAGUACCGCUAGCUGACGUGAUAGUACAGUAUCAUUCUAUAAUUCUCCAUGUGUUGGUAUCAAUUAAUUGGUAAACAAGUUAGUGCCCGUAGCAUUAUUGUUUUGCUCCUUUCAAUUAGGGAUGAGCAUUGGUGGAUCGAACAGGUUUGGACGUUACACAUCAUGUGAAUCGGAUUUAUAACCACCGAUACAUCGACAAGUCCAACUCAGUUGAUUUGCGGGUUGGGUCAGGCAGGCACCGCAAGUUGGAGGAAGGUGAAACUUGCACAGAGCCAAAUAGAUGAAGCCUUGAAGAUGGAACUUUGAACUUGGUUGGUAGGUGGCUAUGGCGGGGCGACAACUAUAUCAAGAGACAAUUUCAUAUUUGGGAGUGAGGGAAUGAGGGCCACGUCAUGUUCAUGUAUGUAACUUGCAAAAAAAUUGUACAAUUUUCCAUGGGAAAAUUAUGCUCUCCCCACGUAGCUUCUCCUCUAAUAGUUGAGGAUGAAGGAGAUAAGCAAUCAGACAAUGGGAAAAUUUUCAAGUAUGGUGUUUCGGGCAGAGGCACUCAGAAAACACACCUAAGUAUUCCCCUAAAUAAACUCAUGCUUGCAACACAUGAUCUUUAAUGUGUGCCAUUGUUCGUGGCCAUGAAGAUUGACAUGGGGGUGCUAAUAUGCCAAUUUUGCUAGCUAUAAUCCUUUUGUCUUCAUCACUUAUUUCCUUAACAUAGAUUACAACUCCUAAUUAAUUACCUUGUCCUACGCUCUUUCCGCGGCUUUUCACAGCACACCCACCUAUUUUUACACUCUCAUUUCCUUCAAUAAUUAAUCUCCCUCCAAUACACAUUUUAAUCCCCUACCCCAAAAACUCCCUCCUUCUCUCUCUCUCUCUCUCUCUCUCUCUCUCUCUCUCUCUCUCUCUCUCUCUCUCUCCCGGAAGAUUCCUGAGAGAGAGAACGAACAUCCCGUAUAUAUAAUUAAUAGCAGCACAUAUGGCUUCCACAACCGAAACUAAUCAACCCCGCUCCUCCGACCAACCCGCAACACAAUCAUCAGAAGCCCACCAACCUCGAGCCCCCAUUGACCCCUACCCCCCGCCCGCCGGGGGCACCUAUCCGCCAUCCAACAUGAGCUACGCGCACCCACAAGGAUACCCCACCGUAGCGCCCCCCUACCACGGGUACCACCCGAGCGCCUACAACCCUUAUUACGGGGACCCCUACUACACCACCACCUCCUACAACCAAGCUGACGAGGCCGCCAGCAGCUGCUUCCGGUGCUUCUGCAUCAUCAUGUUCCUCCUCGUCAUCUUCACCCUCCUUGCCAGCAUCGUCAUGUUUGUCGUGGUCCGCCCGGAAACCCCGGCCUUCAAGGUCGAGUCCUUUAGCGUCUCCAACUUCAACCUCGUCCCAGGGAGCAAAGUGCUCUCCGGGAAAUGGGAGGCCUCCAUCUACGUGGACAACCCCAGCUACAGGAUGAAGUUGGAGAUAGACAGGUGGGAGACCUCCCUGUACCACAAGGACAACUAUCUCGCGAUGGGCUCCGUCAUGCACUCCAUGAAUCUCGAAUCUCGGUCAAAAGGCACGAUGCACAUGAAGAUGGAGACGUACAAUACAACGGCGAGCAGCGCGGUAGAGGACAUGGAGAAGGAGCAGAAGGAGGGCGGGAACGUGAGCUUCAAUUUGAGGUUGACGCUUUCGUACGACAUGAAAGCCAGUGGUUUUUUGUAUAAUCACUAUAGUAACUACAGAAGUGGGACCCUCCGGGUGAAAUGCUCGGAUUUGAAGGUGCCGCUGCCGGCGGGGUCAAAUACUGGCAGCAUGCCCAGUGGGAGCUCGAAGGCAUGCGAUAUCUCCGAUGGUUUCUGAUUAUUUAGUCAUAGACGAGAAAUGGGUCGGAUAUUUUUUGUAUGGUCUCUCGGUCUCAUUUACUUUCUUCCCAUGUCUCCUCCAUAUGUGGGAAUUGUGUAUUUGGCUAACUUAUAUUAGACGAAGUCAUAUGUUCAUAAUUUUAGAAACCCUUAAAUCUGUUAAUUUUAUUGUAGAAAAUUCUUUAGACUAUUGUUUCUAGGAUUUCUUGUGCUUUGUUUAAUUUUAAUUUUGUUAUAACUAUAUAGUGACACAUAAUGACUAACUCGGGAUCUGACCGUAUUUCUCUUUUCAGUAUUAAAAGGCAUUAGUCAUAUUAUUUCAUGUUUGUAUCGAAUUACACAAUACUAACCGAAGUUAUAGAAGAUUCUUAAUCCAUUCAUUAAUCAUGUAUGGUUAACUAAAUGCAAAAUUUCUCAACUUUAACAUAAGUUACUCAUUCUUUGAUAAAAACAUAUAUAUAGUUUAUAUUCAAUUGAAUAUGUUUGGAUAAAUUUUAGCUUUCGUUAUUGACCAAUGAUAUGGAGAACACUGCACAAUGUGAUCCGCGAUCGUCCCUUCAUGUCUAUUGUUUUUGAGGCACUUUGCAAAUAAGUCUCUCCAAAUUCUAUUUCAUAAUCAAAUUUGAACUAAAAAAAUAAACCUUUAGACCCGACUUUUAUUGAAUCUAAUAAUACCAAUUGAUAGGUCAACAGCGUUUAGCUCACUGAAAAAGUGAUAUUGACAGGAGAAUAAUUAUGUAGUUUAGACUAUUCAGUCCUGAUCUCUCAGACCACAAGAGUCCAAGAAAUUGUGGUCACCCACCGUUGAAUAUUAAUCCAAUGGUUCAAAAAAGUUUCUUAAAAUGAGUACAAGAGUGAGUGAACCGUUAAAUUUACAUCCAACGAUGAAUGACCAUAAAUCUCUUGGACCCCUGUAGUCCAAGAGAUCAGAACUGCUAGACUAUUAUCACCAACAUUAGGAUGUGUAUUGCACUAAUUGUGUUUUUUCUUCGUGAAAAAGCUCCAUUAAACGAGUUGACAAAACAUCUAUAAAAAGUGUUAGGCUCAACAUUAUGCUUAAAGCAAAGGCCACCAAAAAAAAAAUAACGAAGUAGGAGUCCAACAAACACGCAUAUGUCCAUUUGGGCUUUAUCGAUUCAAAUACGCGGAGCGGGUAACCGCGAACCCGAACCCGCUUCGCAUAAGAAACAGAUAGGGACAAUGACGAGCCGACAAGUGUCACCACCGUAGAAGGCGGGGAGAGAUUCCUCAGUGCGGCGCUUCAACUUAAGUCUACGCCCUCUGCCAAACAAAAAAGAAUACAAAAAGAAAAAACAUAGAAUUACGCGUUAUUUGCCAAGCAAUUCUAUCAACAAUCAAACUGUAGCCCUCAAGCAACUUUGUGCUCUCAGAAAUUUUUUUUUUUUUUUUGUGGUAAUUUUUUUUCGCAUAGUAUAUCUAUCGUAUCGACCGACCAAACACCUCCUCCUCUACCUCUACGCCUACCUUUUAUUUUUUCCUUACCUCUCUGUCUCUUGGAAACCAAAAACUCAAUUAGCUCUCUCCGCUCUCAAAUGGCUACCUCAGCUGCCGGCGCCGAUGAUGGUCGUAACAAGACGGUGACCGGCUACCCAGUUGAGCAGGGUCAAUUCGCAGCCGGCUACCCAGCCGCCGGAGCCUACCCCUACGUGGCCCCACCGCCGCCUCCUCACGCCAACACUUACCGGCCCAUGGGCCCACCUCCUUACUACGCCCCUCGGCCCACUGGGCCCAUCACGCCCAAUAGGCCCACCCUCCUCUGCCGCCUCCUCAUUGCCGCCAUCGCCGUCUUCGCCAUCAUGUCCCUCGUCUUCUUCAUCGCCUGGCUUGCACUCCGCCCCCGCCUCCCCGAGUUCCGGGUCGAAUCGGCCUCCGUCUUCCCGCUCAACGCCACUGGCUCCGAGCUCACCGCCACCUGGGACCUCACCCUCCUUGCCAACAACCCCAACCACAAGCUCAGAAUUUACUACGACAGCAUCCAGGCCUCACUAUUCUACGGCGACGAUUACCGGCUCGCCACGACGUCGUUGCCUCCCUUUGUUUUGACCAAGAGGAACCAGACGCGUGUCGGGUUCAAGCUGGCGACGGUGGGGGAGUACGUCGGCAAUUACGUGGCCAAGGGGAUCUCCGACGAGAGGGAUCGUGGGUCGGUGAGGUUCGGGCUAGGAGUUUUUGCUUCGGUUCGGUUUAGGUCUGGAGUGUUCCAGUCGAGGCCUCGCGUGUUGCGGGUCUUCUGCGAAAGGGUCGAUUUCGGGUUUGCCCAGAAGAAUGGGACGGGGACUUUGACGGGUCAGUCAAGUCCGUGUGUGGUUGACGUGUGACUGUGAGUAUAAUUAGUCCAUUGGAUUAACACAAAUUGGUAAAUGCUAUAUUUAGUCGUUGUUCAUGAUUUUGGGUUAUGGAAUAUAAUUCGUGAUCUUCUGAAUCCAAUUUCUCUCUGUUCUUUUAUGCUAGCUAAUGAUAGUAUAUUUUUUUUCAAUUAUUUUAUUAUGAUUUCUACUAGUUUUCUUUGUUUUGGAGGUAAAUACCAUUUUCCCCGUUUUGCAUAUGCUAAUUGGCAUUUGAAGUGUUGAGAUGGGUUAGAUGAUAAUAUGGGACAUUGCCACAUUAGGUUUUGUAUUUGUGUUAGAAUAAAGAGCAAUGUGAUUGUUUUUAGUGUUCUGGGGCUUUGUCAUUGUGAUUCAAACUCCAGAGCCAGAGACUGUAGGGUAUUGAGUGUUGCUUGGUGAAGCUUUAAUCGAGUGUUGACUCAUUUGGUAGAGAUGCAUAAAUGCAUUCUGAAUGGAUUAUAGGGUUUUCCCUCCACCCUUGAAUGCCACUUACCACACAGUCACAAGGAAAAAAGUAAGUGCGCACCAACCGUAGUUGUCUCCAAGCAUAACAUUUGAAGAAACUCAUCCCUAUUGUUUGUUAAUGAUAUCAAACCAUUGUUCGUGCCUUCAAAGAUUAUGCGCUUGAGAAGAAUGGUAAAGACUUUAUUUAAGCAUUGGAUUUGUGGUAGUGGCUACUAAGCCUCUCUGUUAGGAUGUCUGUUUUAUUGUGCUUAAUGCUGGUUGUAAGUCUAGGGUUGUGAUUCAAGCUGUUGUCUUGUGAUUCAAGUCAAUAGUAUUGGAACAGUACAAGAUUUUCCUGGGGAAGGGGAGCUUGGUCUACUAGGAACUAGCAAGUAGUGUGAUUUUACCUAUGUAUUGAGAAAUUGUUUAUUGUUUUGCUCUCGAAGAAUUAAAACGAAUCUCUCUACUUACUUCAUCAUCGUAGAGAUCAAUUCUUUUUAUAGGAGUUUGGUGUUAUUUGUUCUCUCUCUCUCUCUCCGCCCAUAGGAUAACAUCAUAAUGUUUAUCUUUUCAGACUCUGAAUUUGUGCUCAUGUAAAUGUGGUGUUGAAUGUUUGCUUGUAAUGGUCGAAUUGUGCUUUAGGCACUACUGUACGAGUAACGAUUAAGAGGAGUGGCUAGGUAAAGACUGUAGUUGCAGUUAAUUUGACUUCCAAACCAUUUCUACUACAAUGUUAAGUUUCAUAGUAGGUUAUGAUUUGGGUUCAGUUGAUAUAUGAUAAUAAUAGAACUGUUGUCAAAUGUAAAGUCAUUCUCUUUCUGAUUUUGUAGCUGUUGUCAAAUGUAAAGUCAUUCUCUUUCUGAUUUUGUAUUUACUCCUUUCCUGGCUGCUUUCCAUUUAGGUUUUUUCCUUUGAAACUCAGCUGCAUGUCUUCUUGUAGGAGAAAAAACACCAAACUUUUGUUCUGGCAACAUUUUAAUUACGUCAUACUGUAUUGCAUGUUUUCUGCUCCAUUUUAACUGUGUCAAUAUGCUGUUAAGUUGGCCAAACAGGGAACUUUUUAUGUUUGCUCUGUACUACUACGUCAAAGCUUGCCUGUAUUAGCUUUCACACUUUCAGUAUAGUUCUGAGCUGAUGUAGUUGCAUUGUUAUUGUUGAAGUUUUGAUUUUGAAAAAUUCAGAAUUUUGGGCUCAGAAGCCAUGCGAGGUUGGAGAUUAGAAAAGGGGCAUUGCUCGUCUUGCCCAAUGCGUUGAUGUUACUUGUUUUUAAUACUUAAGAGAAGCAAUUAUGUGCUUCUGAAGUCUCUUAUCAUACUUGAAUUUUAGUACUGGUUUUAAACUAUUAAUCUAGUGAUGCCAAACACUGUCCUUUUGUCCUUGAUGCUGAAGUGGUUUUAGUUUUACUUUGAUUUUGAUGAUUUCAUUUCUGAUGUUUAUAGGUGUUAGAGGUUAAUGUGUGUUGAGAUUGUUUUUCUGCUCUUUUAUUUUCUGUUUGUGGUUGAAACUUGAAACAUAGAAUCAGUUUCCAAAAAAUUGAAUUCAGUAUUUCAGGUUGGUACUGUAGUUCCUAUGAUUGGUGACAUAGUUGUAGCUCAACAGGUAGUUCAUAUUUUCCUAAUUUUAAAAGAACUUUUUAUUUUAAAGGUCCUUUUAGUGACAUUUUUGUUUUUUACUUUUAAGCUUUUCUUUAACGAGGUAGAGGGGGAGAGGUGGACGGUUCUUAGGAGAAAGGUGAGGGAAAAAGGAGAGAAAAAAUACUUCAAAAGUUCUAAAAAGUAAAAAAGCAAUUUAAAUGGCUUUUAGCCUGUUACUUUUAAUUCUCUCUACUUCUCCUGUCUUGUUCAUCUCUUUCAUCUCCUCCAUCACUUUAAUUUUCUAUAAAAGCUGUUAUCAGGGAUGCCUUCACUCCGCGUUUUUCUUUUGCUGGCAUUUAUGUAGUAGGCUUCAUCUAUUAAAGAGUUAUGAUUAAUCAAGGCAUGAGGCAUCAGUUUCAGUUAGGCGAAAUUAGGUUUUCAACGAAGAAAUAAAGCCUUACAAGUUCCUCGUCAUUACUUGCAUGUACUUUGCUUUUGAACUAUUCCAUCAUCAGUUCAACAAUUGAUUGAUGUGUAGAAUUUGGUCUUGGGUGUAUUGACUUGAGAUAGGUUGAAGAUGUAUUUAGUUGGUCCAUGCUUAGAGCUCUGAUUUGCUGGCUGAAAUGGUUUAACUUUUGGAAAUUUUCCUCUCUAUUUCACCGGUUGUACAGAAUCAUGUGUCUAUUAUGACGUGACACCUUAACGACCCUAAACUCGGACUAGAAAGAGUUCAAUCCCUCCCUCCUAUAUAUAAGUAUUAGCAAUUGUAUAGGUAUCUUUGGUUCCACCGCUUGUUUAAGUAAGGAGGCAGUGGGAUGAAGUGGUUGCUUGGCCGACAGAGCUUUCUGGGGUGGCCUAAAUAACUUUAUGAAAGCCUAUAUAUUAUGCAGAUAGCAUUGGCAAUGGAAUUAUUUAUAAACUAAUAACACUUUGAUUAUAUCUUAUAAACAUGAUAAGAUUCUCAGACACGAUAAUAGUGUACAUAUUUGUAUAUCUCCAGUUGGACAUGAUUAGGACGCUAGUGGAUUGAGAGAGAUUGACAUUGAUUUUUAGUGCAUGUAAAAGUAAUUGUGUAAAUAUCUGGGAUGUUUCUUCUUUUUUUUCUUUUUCUUUUUUUCUGUUUUCUUAUGGGCCCGUGAAGAAACAGCAUUGGAAUGAAAAUUCUGUGUCCAAAUUAGGAACGCGUGAGGGAUGAGACAUGGUUGCCCUUUGUCAUUUUCUACUGCUGAUUAGGACAAUCAGAAUGUGGAGGGAGCUAUUUGAUUGAUGAUUGAACAUAAGAAACUAAUCAAAUUAUCUGUUGUGAAGUUUAAUAAAAGAAGAGACACAAAUCUACAAGUCUCACGCAAUGAAAGCUAAAUCCAGAUUUAUUUUUGUAAGAAAACAAAGUCGUCCUACUAGCAAUUGACUGAUUUCACUUGACCAAAAGGUUGGGAUAGCAAUUUUUCCCGUCACACCCAAUCUCCACAUUGAUCUGUCCCGAAUGGGAUGGGGAUUGAGGCUUCUGCCCUUUCUCCAUCCCAUUCCGUUUUACAACUAUCAUGUUAAAGAAUGAUAAUUGUUUUGUUGACUCUUAAAUUUAAGCUUUUAUGAAUGGGAUGUGGAAUUCGAAUCUCAAUGAAGAAGACGAUAUCCAAUAGGGUUUGAGGCGGGAUUGUGGAUAUUUAACUUUUAUGGGGAUGGGGAUGAGUGUGAAAUAAUUGUUUCUUCGAGUAAAUUUUGUUAGGGGUAUAACUUACCACGAAGCUACAAACCCAACAUUAUUGCAUAUGUUUCUUCCUUUGCAGGCGAAAUAGUCCUCUGGGAGGGUGCAAAGGAUAGGAAGCUUCUCACUGGCCAUGUGACGGCAUGUGGAAAAUACGUAACAAAAGGCUUUACUUGGUGGCGUUUACACCUACGCCAUUAUUAUUAUUAGGCACCAUUUUAUAUUUAUAUUCAAAACUCAAAGCAGUGCAUGAACUGAUGCAAAAAAACAAAAACAAAAAAGAUUUAGGGGCUUUUAAGAUAUUUCCAUGUUGAGUCGGUUAGCUUGGCAAGUCAGUUUGAUCUUAAGGCUUUUCAUAAUUCAUUCAUAAUGUAGGAAAACACUUAAAAGGAAAGUGAUUGCUUGCAUAAUUACUUAUGAUAAUUUUGAUCUCCAUUUAAAGGAAAGUGCUUGGAUGAUCCCCUUUUUUUUUUCUUCUCAAAACUUGCUUUCAAAGUUCAUUUUCCAUCAUAUUUCAACUCCUUUUCUUCAAGAUACUUCUACCAUCAUACAUCAUAGAUGCAUCCAAAUGACUAUCUAGGGUUCAUUGGCUCAUCAUCACCCACUAUUAGUUUCACUUUUUUAUUAAUAGGGUGAUCAAUUACCCUUCAAACCAAUUCAAGACAGCUUAAUCAACCCAAUUAGAUAGUCAUCAUUUUGUGUCACCAAGAAUAUUAUCCCUUUCUUUCACCUCCAUGUCUUUUCUUCCCCAUUUUUCUUCUCAUUGUUUUUGGAACUCUCCCCUUCUUAGAAUGACCCACCAAUCAAAGGGUUUCUUUCUUCUCUCUCCCCCAAUGCUUUAUUCCACCAACUUUUUGUUUUUGUCUCUUUCAUUAACCCAUGGUUAACAGAAAGAAGCAUAGCCACAGAUUCUAGUCAGAUUUUAGCAGCAAAGCGCAUGAAGACAACAAACGAAUCCAUUGGGUGCAAGUUGCAUAGAACAAUUUUGGCUUUGGGCAUUCAUAUUAACCACAAAGGUUAGGUUAAAAGUUAAUUGUGAUUUACUUAACAGAGAUUUAAACAGGAAAUUGGGAUUUGGUGGUUUCAAAGAAGAUCUUGUAGGGACAUUUGUAAUUCCCAAAGUAGGGAUAAAGAAUCAGCAUGGAUGUCAGUGCAAGUGCAGAAGAGAAUACCUUUGUGUGUGUAGAAUCUAGUAGGCAUUGGCCACAAACCACCCCACCCUUCUUUAUGGACAUUUGGGGAUAUCCUUGGCUUCUUUUUGCGGCUUCCAUGUUUUGUAAAAGUGCUUUUACCCAAGGCAUUUUCUUCUUGUUUUUAUGAGAAAAUUGAGAGAAUCAGCAGCAAAGAAUUUGGUAAAGGGCCCUCUGCAUUCUCUGGAAACUGCACUAAGUGUACUUGGUUUCUUUGGCCACAGUACAUAAGAGAUGCAACAAGAGGAAAAGAAAACAAUCAAAUAAGUUCUACAGCACCAAGUACCAAAUAAUUGAACUCCAACAUGUCUAUGAGUAAGGCUCCAAUGAUUCAAAUUUUGGGUUUGGUCGUACCCAAAUAGUAAUAUUCUAAAGGAAAAUGCAACUAAGAUCAAAUAUUUCGAGCCGCUUCCGUGAAAAAUUCAAACUUUCUUUUUUAAUACUUCAAUCACAUAAAAAUAUAAACUUUGAGAUUCAAUAGCUAAAUACAUGGCAAUUGAAUCAUGAGCCGAGAUCAUAAAGAGCAUACAAGUAUACAAAGUGGAUGUCAUUGUAGGUGUCAAAUGAGUGAAGAAGAAGAAAAGAGUCAUGUGCUUUUAGGUGUGCCAACUAAUAUUAUCUUUCCAUGGUUUGAUCUCAAGUCUCAUAUCUGGAUGUGGUUUUCUUCUCUUUGGAUUUAUAUAUGACAAUAUAUAUAUAUAUAUAUAUUUAUAUUUAUAUAUAUUUUAAAAAAACAUUUAAAACACCCAAAUUUAUACACCAGUCAUAUUUUAUACUGUAUUUCUUUUUUCUAAUAUUAUAACACUUAAAGAAAACCCAAGUAAAUGACAAAUAGUGUAUCAUAUCCACCCACCAUCUAAUAAUGCUAAAUUAGUAGAAAGUUAAGUCUUUUUUUAGCAGUGUUUCUUUCAUUUGAUCCAAGACUUUUCUACAAGAGGCCUAUGUCAGAAUUAGUUAUUUGAUUUCAUAAGACUCUGCCAGAAUUUGACUCAGCAACAACCAAUUUCUAACCAUGUGUCUUCAAGCCAAGAAAUAAGACAAAGUAGGCCCUUCUGAAGAUUUCAACUUUUGUGAAUUGCUUAACUUUGAGCAAAUUGAUGGUGCAUAGAAGAAAUUUGAUUCCCUAUAUUUUUUUCUUCUCACUUGCUAAUAUCCAGUCAUUCGGUUGCAAACGACAAUGACUUUCAUUAAAUGAAAAUUGUUUCAUAGGAAAACAUCCAAAUGGUUAAGAACUUAAAGAAAGUUGAUGUUUGAAGUAUAUUUUAGAGAGGGGAUAAGGAGAACAACACUUUCAGAAACAAUGAAGGAAGAGAAAAUUUUAUAUAUUGAUUAAGAUUAUCGACCUGAUAACGAGAGAUUCACCUUAAUCAGCGACUCAUUGUCCGUACACAUAUCAAUAAUUUUCAUGUAACGUAAUCUUGUUCGGCAAGCUUCUAUCACCAUUUGAGAGAGAGAGAGAGAAAAAAAAUUGUAUAAAAUUAAGAGGUAGAUAAAAAUUGGUCAUAGGUUUGGUCAUUGGUGGUUGAGGAGACUUUUAGAGCUCGAUGUCGAUACUAAAUGUGUGAAAAAACACAUCAUGGUCUUGUAGUUCAUAUUCACACUUGCCAACCGACAUAAUCAAUUUCUAGUUUCUACCAUCAAUAAUGUAUUGGAGUGUAGUUUGGUUUGGUGCUUUUAACUAAAAUUAGUACAUGUAUUGAAAUUAUUGCUCUCUUUUUUUGUUGCCCACGUACCCUUUUACCAUCUGCUGGGAAAGUGCAGUGCAGCUAACCCUACUUUUCCUUGAUUAAAAAAUUAUUUUUAUAAAAUAAAUAAAUAAAUAAAAAAACCGUUCUCAAUGUUGUUUUCUAAGUAACAUUUUAGGAUUUUUAAAAAGCAAAACAAAAUAAUUAAAGAAACAAAACUGAUGAAAGAAAGGCUAACAAUUUUCUUUCUGGGAAAGCAAUGGGUUCUUUAUGAAAAAGGGUUUAAGCUUUUAAUCCACCCAAACAAAGUCUUUGUUUCUAAUUCAUCAGAGGUUAUGAAAUUUUCAAUACAUCCACAUCCAAAUCAUGUUUUUUUUUUUCCUUUUUUUUUUCUUUUUUUUUUUCCUUCUAUGUUGCAUCAUUGUUAGGCUUUAGGCUUUAGGCUUUAGCUGGUGGGAGAAGUAAUAUUUUGGAACCCAGAGGUUUCCUCUGUCAUGAUAAGUGGGGCCAAGUGGGUGCAAGAGACGUGUCAAUUAGACUUUUCCCAUGUAUCCAUAUUCAAUCGGACGGUGGUGAAGAGUCUUGCUUUUCCAAACACUUUAUUGAAGUCACAAUCGGCCCAUUCACAUUCUAAAUUCUAGUAUAGAAAGAAAUUUUAAAAAAUAUGUUAUUUUCUUUAGGCUUUUUGUCUUUCUGAGUUGAUUAAGAAAAAGCAGUGAGCUUCACUUUUUGACUAAGCGAGCACAACACAACUGAGGGUCAUGGAUUAAUACAAUCGUACUCAUUAAAACUCAUUUAUAUUGUUUUUUUAUAUAAAUGAUAUUCUAUUUUAAUUUAUUUUAAACUACAUAGAGGGGUAUUCAAACUCGGAUGUAAACACUGAAAUUCACUUACAUUAACAAUGAAGAUCGAUGGCAGACAAUAUUAAUGAUAUUUUAUUACAUAUAUAACUAUAUAUCUUGAAGCUAAUGCCAAUAGCGUAUUACUUGGAUCUGGUUUUGAAAAGAAUUAGGGUUUGAGCAACAAGAUCUUUCUUAGUGACUUGAGCCUCUAUAGUUUAUUGAAUGGACUUUAAUUUUGAUUAGUUGUAAAAUAAAGAAGAUUAAUAACUUGUUUUGAAACACUGAAACACAUGAGGUUUUUGAGGAGAAUUAUGAAGAAAAGAUAUGAACCAACCAUUGAGAUAACAUGUGGGUGAGCUCGACAAACAAUUUGAAAUCCUGUUUGUUGAAUAAAGCCAAGCAUAGAAAACGAUUGGUCUUAACCCAUCACACCAUAUGGGCAUCUUAACUAGGACACAUCAUGCAGUGAACAAAAACCCAACAAAUUUCAUCUAAGUUAUUUAGAUCAAAUCAUAUAAAUAAUAAACCCAAUUAGUAGCUAUAAUUGAUGAGCCUUGUCAAGUGACACAUGAUGACAUAAGGUAUUUGUGUAAUUUAAUUGGUUAAUGCCCAUGGUUAUGAUUGAGUAAUAAGAAAAACCAAACAAUGCCUUGGUACUGAAAAUUGAUGGGUCACCAAUUUCCACUACCUUGCUACACUACCACCAAACAACUCAAAAGCAACCAAAAAGUUCUUUAAAAAAUAAAAGUUAUUGGUUAGUGCUGGUUAACGAUUUAUAAUAUUUGGUUCAUUGUCGAUUAUUUGAUUGUUAUUAUAAAUAUUAACUUUAAUAGACAGUUACUCAUAUAAAAAAUAGAAAUUCAGAGUAAUUUUGGAAUGAGACCGUAAUCUAAUAUUAAACAUUUUUUUUACGCGAAUAAAAAACUAAUUUUCCUCAUAAUUAGUGAAAGUACUUUGAAAUGUCCCUAAACACAUUACACCUACUUUAGCAUACUUGCUUUUCCACCAUACAUACAUGAUCACAUAGAUCAUCAUCAUCUUCAUUAAAAACCAUGUAAUAUAUAUACCCCCACACACAUCCCCAACCAAAGCUCAUUUACUAAAGGGUCAACUCUCAAACCCAACUCUAACUCAACUCCAACCGUCCUUCCUCUCUCUCUCUCAGUCUCCCUCUCCACCUCCACCGCAAACUACCGCGGCCGCCGCCAUGUCGUACAAGGACUGCGGCCAACACGGAUACAACAAGCGGCGAAGGAGGUUUAAACGCUGCUGCGCCGGGCUCCUAAUCUUCAACUUCAUCCUGCUCGUCACCAUCCUCAUCGUGUGGGCCAUCCUCCAGCCCUCCAAACCCCGCUUCAUCCUCCAAGACGUCACCGUCUUCAACUUCAACAACUCCGUACCCAACGUCUUCUCCUCCAGCUUCCAGGUCACCGUCUCCUCCCGCAACCCCAACGACAAGAUCGGCAUCUACUACGACAGGCUCAACAUCUACGCGACAUACCGUAAUCAGCAGAUCACCUUCUCCACGCUCAUCCCGCCGGUGUACCAGGGUCACAAGGACGUCAACGU
rnacentral:lncRNA from 1 species